rnacentral:rRNA from 1 species
CCUACGGGGGGCAGCAGUGGGGGAUAUUGCACAAUGGGGGAAACCCUGAUGCAGCGACGCCGCGUGAGUGAAGAAGUAUUUCGGUAUGUAAAGCUCUAUCAGCAGGGAAGAAGAUGACGGUACCUGACCAAGAAGCCCCGGCUAACUACGUGCCAGCAGCCGCGGUAAGACGUAGGGGGCAAGCGUUAUCCGGAUUUACUGGGUGUAAAGGGGGCGCAGACGGCAAUGCAAGCCAGGAGUGAAAGCCCGGGGCCCAACCCCGGGACUGCUCUUGGAACUGCAUGGCUGGAGUACAGGAGGGGCAGGCGGAAUGCCUAGUGUAGCGGUGAAAUGCGUAGAUAUUAGGAGGAACACCGGUGGCGAAGGCGGCCUGCUGGACUGUGACUGACGUUGAGGCCCGAAGGCGUGGGGAGCAAACAGGAUUAGAUACCCGUGUAGUC